CUAUUCCAGGCCUAAAACCCUAGCUGGAUAGUACAAAUCACUAUUUAAACCCCAAAGAACUUGGCGGCGUUCCAACCACUCAGGGGAACCUGUCCCUUAAUUUGAUACUCCACGUAUGCCCAUCCUACCCUUGAACCAAAUAUUCAGCCUGUGUAUUGCCGUCAUUAGCAUACCUUAAAGAGCAAGUAUACAAAAAUACUAAACCCGCACUUAUGUCAGGUCAAAAUGCAGCCCAUGGGUAGGUGGAGAUGGGUUACACUCUUAAUUAAAGCCACCCCCGGCAACUCAUAAGCUGCCCUAAAGCUGGACUUGAUAGUAAUAAACUAAAUCUAAAAAUUUAUGAAACCGAAUCUAGAACGUGCACAAAUCGCCCGUCACUCCUGNUGAAAAAUG
rnacentral:rRNA from 1 species